AUUGAACGCUGGCGGCAUGCCUUACACAUGCAAGUCGAACGGUAACAGGUCUUCGGAUGCUGACGAGUGGCGAACGGGUGAGUAAUACAUCGGAACGUGCCUAGUAGUGGGGGAUAACUACUCGAAAGAGUGGCUAACACCGCAUGAGAUCUACGGAUGAAAGCAGGGGAUCGCAAGACCUUGUGCUACUAGAGCGGACGAUGGCAGAUUAGGUAGUUGGUGGGAUAAAAGCUUACCAAGCCGACGAUCUGUAGCUGGUCUGAGAGGACGAUCAGCCACACUGGGACUGAGACACGGCCCAGACUCCUACGGGAGGCAGCAGUGGGGAAUUUUGGACAAUGGGCGCAAGCCUGAUCCAGCAAUGCCGCGUGCAGGAUGAAGGCCUUCGGGUUGUAAACUGCUUUUGUACGGAACGAAAAGCCCCGGGUUAAUACCCUGGGGUCAUGACGGUACCGUAAGAAUAAGCACCGGCUAACUACGUGCCAGCCGCCGCAGUAA
rnacentral:rRNA from 1 species